ACUCCUACGGGAGGCAGCAGUGGGGAAUAUUGCGCAAUGGGCGAAAGCCUGACGCAGCAAUGCCGCGUGAGUGAGGAAGGCCUUCGGGUUGUAAAACUCUGUCAGAUAGGAAGAAUUGCCAAGGGUCCAAUAGGCCCUUGGAGUGACGGUACUAUCAAAGGAAGCACCGGCUAACUUCGUGCCAGCAGCCGCGGUAAUACGAAGGGUGCAAGCGUUGUUCGGAUUUAUUGGGCGUAAAGCGCGCGCAGGCGGGCAGCUAAGUCAGAUGUGAAAUCUCGGGGCUCAA
rnacentral:rRNA from 1 species